AGUAACGCGUAGGUAACCUACCUCAUAGCGGGGGAUAACUAUUGGAAACGAUAGCUAAUACCGCAUAAGAGAGACUAACGCAUGUUAGUAAUUUAAAAGGGGCAAUUGCUACACUAUGAGAUGGACCUGCGUUGUAUUAGCUAGUUGGUGAGGUAAAGGCUCACCAAGGCGACGAUACAUAGCCGACCUGAGAGGGUGAUCGGCCACACUGGGACUGAGACACGGCCCAG
rnacentral:rRNA from 1 species